CCCCUAUAGAAGCUAGAAGUAACCUCUAGUAGUCUAGUAGUCGGCCUAACCAAAGCAUCACGACAACAGAAAAUGACCUUUAUGAAUGGAAUCUUAAGUAGGGGGCUUAGCCCGCCCGCCUACCAAUCAAAGAGGCUGAGAGUAAGCAUAAGCUCUUCGAGCUUCCCUUCAUUCGCUUCGCGGUAGCCGCACAACAUGUGGCGUCCCUAAAUAAUGACUGGUUUAAUAGUAAUGAUUUCAAUAGCAAAAACCAUGGGAAUUUUUUUUUCUUUUUCUUUUUCAUUUCUCUCUUUUUCACAGUAAUUAAGUUCAGAAGGAAAAUUAUCACUAUAGAGUCCUGAAUGGCCAGUUCACAACUCUAUUCAGAGUCAUUUCUUUCUGAUCACUCAUAACCUCUAAACCAUUUUGCUCUUUCAAAAGAAAAGUAUGCCAGCCAUUACUUUAGGUCGUCACGUGAAAAAAAUAAUAAAAUAAAAUGCGGUCGGUGAACUCUCUUUCAAAUAAAGUUUGUUAACACUUUCUUUUCAAAUAACAAGAUUAAACAUAAUUACAUUCAUAAUCUAAAACUGUCCAAAAUAUGGGAGUUUGCAAAAUACAUAGUGACAUCCAGAGCAAGGGUAUCAAUUGUGGUGGCUUCAGCCACAUAUAUACAAUCAUCAAAUUCCUUUACAAUAGGUCUACCCAUCCAAAAUCAAAAGAGUAAACCUAACAGUCUGUACUAGAUAUACCCACCCCCAAAAACUAUGUAAACCUAGUCUAAGGAGCCGUACACUAUGAUGAAGAAUCUCCACUAGUCGCUAUCCCUCCAGGGCCGCUCUCCUCCGUAGAGUUUGCCUCAUUUGCUGACAUGAAGUCCUCUGGAGAAUCCACAUCAGGGAGUGGGUCCUCAUCACCCUCUGGAAAGUCAAUAGCAUCCACAGCAGACUCAGGAGGUAACUCCUCUGAGUCCUCCUCAGGGUCUUCUUCAGAUGACGACACCUCUAUCACUUGGACUGGCUUCACUAGUCGAUAUGGAGUAGGUGUAGGUAAUAUCCACUCCACAGUUCGCUGAAGCGUGCGUGUGUGUGCAGGUUCCUUUGGAUGUACCAAUGAAGUAGCCGUGAGUUGAAUUGUGCCACGGAAUCGGCACCUCGCAUUGCCUUUGAGGGUCUCCCAAACUCCCUCUAGGCACUCCAUCUCCACUCGAUCAUGGAUUAAUUGCGCUACCAUCGCGAUCUACAAGAAAUAAAAGAAAGGGGGUAGACUCUUUCACAAGAAAUAUAACUACGGGUAACAACACAAUGCGUCCCAUAACCGCUACAUGUAGUUAAAAGGUAUGCCUCAAGGAUUUUCUUCUAUGGUAAUCGAUUACAUAGCAUUGGUAAUCGAUUACCAGAGGCCAAACUCGAGUUACACAGCUUCAGAACAUGAAAACCUGCAAUAUACACUGUGUAAUCGAUUACACAUAACUGGUAAUCGAUUACCAGUUGCCUGUUACUCUGUGUAAUCAAUUACACAACAUUGGUAAUCGAUUACAGAGGCCACCUCAACAUCCUAUCUCCAUUUCUAAGCCUGGUAAUCGAUUACACCGUUUGGUAAUCGAUUACCAGAGGCUAUCUCAACUUCCUGUCUCCAUUUCUAAGCCUUGUAAUCGAUUACACACCGUUGGUAAUCGAUUACCAGAGGCCAUAUUAACUUCAUGUCUUCAUUUUUAAGCCUUGUAAUCGAUUACACACCCUUGGUAAUCGAUUACACACCCUUGGUAAUCGAUUACCAUAGGCCAUAUUCUAGAUAUCACUCAAAAUCCAUAGCUGGCCAGCCACCACACAAGCCUCCUUGCUUUGUGGUCUUUGUUCUUUUAUUGGUUGACUACCAGGAGCUCGCCUGUUUAGGUACGUCACAGGUUCUCACUGACUGACUAUGCCCGGGUUGGGUUGGGAUUGGUCAAGCUUGGUUUUUGGCAAUAGCACCCCACCUGACAUCCCCAAGGUCUCCUGACCCUCGCGACAUAUCUCCAGGUACCACUCUGUGGUCAACGAAUAAAAGUAGGAAGACUGACUUUUCCACACUUUCUCACUUCAAGCUUGUAGGAAUAUGGGGUACCCAUCAUAUGUGGUACUAGGUGGCGAUCGGGCGAUGGUGCAAAUCAACUCUCCCACAUCCACAAAUCAAACAUGAACCCACCAUCCCCAGUUGCCCACCUUCAACUGAGCUCACGUAUCCCCAUGUAGCCUUUAUCCUCGUUCCUCUCAGCAUCGGGUCCCCAUCAACCCCUCCAAGCUUCCACAAUAUCCAAGCAAUUCAAUAUCCAAACAUCAUGAACUAUCCUAAACUAAGAAAACAGGGCAGAGGCAAAAAACUCUGCCCAAAACACAUUCCAAUACCACAACUUUCCCUACUCAAAUACCCCAGUAACAUUCUCUUCGUUCCGAUUCGUUAACCGUUGGAUCGACUCGAAAGUUUUACUGGAGGUCCCUAGUAAAUAAGUCUACAUUUUUACCGUUGGGAUCUGCUAGAAAAUGUCCAGAACCCAAUAUUUACUACCCUUUCCACAACCAGCAAUACACAAACAUUUUUUGCACAAGAGCCAAAUUCUGCUGCACAAAAUUUGACAGCUUUUUGCUACACAAAUUGGGCAGAUUUCGAAAUCCCUCUUGCCCUCAUCCAAUUUUGCUCAAAUUGGAUCCUACAAGUCCUAAAUCAUGUAUAAAUCAUAUCUAAACCAAAGACAAGCUUCAGACCAAAGCAAUUCAAAAUCUAGGUGUCUAAAACCCCUCAAUUUAGUAGAUUUUCAAGGUUUGAGAAGUGAAAAUGAGAAUGGAGUAAUUUUGGAGCAAACUCUCAUCUCAAACAAGUCUAUAACAUUAAUCUAAACUUUCUCAAACUGGUUUUACAACGAAAACUCCACCGAAUCAAAAUUUGACCCCUUAACACCCAAUUUACCCUAGAAAUGGCUCUUGCUUUCACUUUGGUCACUCAUUUUCUUCAUUUGCUCAGCCCAAGCUUUCCCACAAGUCCUAAAUGACAUUUUAAACUUGGAUUAACUUACUUUAGCCUUCAAUUACCACUAACCCCAAAUUUAGCCUUUCAAUCCCUCAAAACCUCACACUUUUCCACUCACAUCACUAUCAUUCUCACUUUUAACCCUAGGCUAACUGUCCCCAUCAUCUCUACCAGUUUCCUACCAACGAUUUCAGCACACAAGCAUCACAAAGCAUCAUUAUAAAACCCUAAAACAGAAUGGGUAUAUUUGGCUCACAUCAACAUGACAAGUUUAGCAUGCUUUCAACAAAUUCCUUCACAAAUAACUACCAUAAGGCAUAAACCUAGUAGAACUACCCAUAAUAUCUCCCAAAAACCCAAUACCCACGAAAAUCAUGUGAGAAGAAGUCUACCCAAACCUGAAAUUUGAAGUCCCACAACGUAGAGGUGCGCUUCACGACUCCGAAAAUGGCUUCCUUUUGCGAUUUGGACUAGAAAUGGUGAACAAAGUUUGGAGCUUUGAUGGAGGCUUCAAUGGAGAGGAAGAAGAAGAGAAAAGCAACGUGAGAGUGAGGGAAAGCUUCUGAAUUUUGCUGAGUGAGGAGAGAGAACGUGGCUUUUAUGAGAAAAUGAUUUCCUUUUUCCUAUUAUUUUAUUUUUUUAAAAACACUUGCCACUUGUCCCAUUUUGAGUGGAACAGAAGGGCCCACUUUUGCUCUUGAUGUGACUCAUACUCAACCACAAGAAGAGAGAAAAAUCUGAAUUUUUGAAAUGCUAAAAUCCUGCCUUGGUUUGCGUUUCGUUUCUCUGGUUCUAGCCCCUCGCGUUUCUCUGCACCCGUCGGGACCCGUUUUCGAUAGUAAGCAAUAUAUAUAUAUCAAAACGCUCAGAAUGAAACCCUGAGCAUGGUUCAGAGGUUGGUUUUGUUAAAUUUUAAGUUGCACGCAAAAUGAUAAUUUUUAGACUAAUUAAUUGAGAAUUUAUCUAUAACUGUCCAGUUAUGGAUUUCUCUUCGUUAAUUAGCCGAACCCACGUAUCUUUCCCCCAAUAUACCUACUCCUACUAGGAGUAUAUAUAUAUAUAUAUAUAUAUAUAUAUAUAUAUAUAUAUAUAUAUAUACUGAAUAAUACUUAUAUAUAUAAUUAUUCUAAAUGCAUCGUUUACAAAAUUCCGGGUAGAAAUUUCCAGGAUGUCACACAACACAUAGCUGGAAGUCAGAGGGCCCAUGCUACCUGCC
rnacentral:lncRNA from 1 species